UUUACUAUAAAAAGGAAGGUUAUACAGAAGAAAAUAUACUGCUCAUCCCAAUCAACUCUUGAAUUCAGUUUGAUAAGCCAAGGGUUCAACAAAGAUGAAGGUCAUCGUCCUGAUCAUCGCUCUCCUUGUCGUGGCUGUAUCGUCUUAUCCUCACGAUUAUCACGACUAUGACGAUUAUUACAGUCACUACAGAUAUCCUUACUCCUACGGACAUCACUAUGACUACCACCAUUAUUACCCCAGCUAUUUUGACACACAUCACUGGUAAAAAAAAAUGGAUCUCACUUUAGACAAGAGAGGAUAUUAUAUCG